rnacentral:rRNA from 1 species
GGGUUGUGAGGUUAAGCGACUAAGCGUACACGGUGGAUGCCCUGGCAGUCAGAGGCGAUGAAGGACGUGCUAAUCUGCGAUAAGCGUCGGUAAGGUGAUAUGAACCGUUAUAACCGGCGAUUUCCGAAUGGGGAAACCCAGUGUGAUUCGUCACACUAUCAUUAACUGAAUCCAUAGGUUAAUGAGGCGAACCGGGGGAACUGAAACAUCUAAGUACCCCGAGGAAAAGAAAUCAACCGAGAUUCCCCCAGUAGCGGCGAGCGAACGGGGAGCAGCCCAGAGCCUGAAUCAGUAUGUGUGUUAGUGGAAGCGUCUGGAAAGGCGCGCGAUACAGGGUGACAGCCCCGUACACAAAAAUGCACAUGCUGUGAGCUCGAUGAGUAGGGCGGGACACGUGGUAUCCUGUCUGAAUAUGGGGGGACCAUCCUCCAAGGCUAAAUACUCCUGACUGACCGAUAGUGAACCAGUACCGUGAGGGAAAGGCGAAAAGAACCCCGGCGAGGGGAGUGAAAAAGAACCUGAAACCGUGUACGUACAAGCAGUGGGAGCACGCUUAGGCGUGUGACUGCGUACCUUUUGUAUAAUGGGUCAGCGACUUAUAUUCUGUAGCAAGGUUAACCGAAUAGGGGAGCCGAAGGGAAACCGAGUCUUAACUGGGCGUUAAGUUGCAGGGUAUAGACCCGAAACCCGGUGAUCUAGCCAUGGGCAGGUUGAAGGUUGGGUAACACUAACUGGAGGACCGAACCGACUAAUGUUGAAAAAUUAGCGGAUGACUUGUGGCUGGGGGUGAAAGGCCAAUCAAACCGGGAGAUAGCUGGUUCUCCCCGAAAGCUAUUUAGGUAGCGCCUCGUGAAUUCAUCUCCGGGGGUAGAGCACUGUUUCGGCAAGGGGGUCAUCCCGACUUACCAACCCGAUGCAAACUGCGAAUACCGGAGAAUGUUAUCACGGGAGACACACGGCGGGUGCUAACGUCCGUCGUGAAGAGGGAAACAACCCAGACCGCCAGCUAAGGUCCCAAAGUCAUGGUUAAGUGGGAAACGAUGUGGGAAGGCCCAGACAGCCAGGAUGUUGGCUUAGAAGCAGCCAUCAUUUAAAGAAAGCGUAAUAGCUCACUGGUCGAGUCGGCCUGCGCGGAAGAUGUAACGGGGCUAAACCAUGCACCGAAGCUGCGGCAGCGACGCUUAUGCGUUGUUGGGUAGGGGAGCGUUCUGUAAGCCUGUGAAGGUGUACUGUGAGGUAUGCUGGAGGUAUCAGAAGUGCGAAUGCUGACAUAAGUAACGAUAAAGCGGGUGAAAAGCCCGCUCGCCGGAAGACCAAGGGUUCCUGUCCAACGUUAAUCGGGGCAGGGUGAGUCGACCCCUAAGGCGAGGCCGAAAGGCGUAGUCGAUGGGAAACAGGUUAAUAUUCCUGUACUUGGUGUUACUGCGAAGGGGGGACGGAGAAGGCUAUGUUGGCCGGGCGACGGUUGUCCCGGUUUAAGCGUGUAGGCUGGUUUUCCAGGCAAAUCCGGAAAAUCAAGGCUGAGGCGUGAUGACGAGGCACUACGGUGCUGAAGCAACAAAUGCCCUGCUUCCAGGAAAAGCCUCUAAGCAUCAGGUAACAUCAAAUCGUACCCCAAACCGACACAGGUGGUCAGGUAGAGAAUACCAAGGCGCUUGAGAGAACUCGGGUGAAGGAACUAGGCAAAAUGGUGCCGUAACUUCGGGAGAAGGCACGCUGAUAUGUAGGUGAAGCGACUUGCUCGUGGAGCUGAAAUCAGUCGAAGAUACCAGCUGGCUGCAACUGUUUAUUAAAAACACAGCACUGUGCAAACACGAAAGUGGACGUAUACGGUGUGACGCCUGCCCGGUGCCGGAAGGUUAAUUGAUGGGGUCAGCGCAAGCGAAGCUCUUGAUCGAAGCCCCGGUAAACGGCGGCCGUAACUAUAACGGUCCUAAGGUAGCGAAAUUCCUUGUCGGGUAAGUUCCGACCUGCACGAAUGGCGUAAUGAUGGCCAGGCUGUCUCCACCCGAGACUCAGUGAAAUUGAACUCGCUGUGAAGAUGCAGUGUACCCGCGGCAAGACGGAAAGACCCCGUGAACCUUUACUAUAGCUUGACACUGAACAUUGAGCCUUGAUGUGUAGGAUAGGUGGGAGGCUUUGAAGUGUGGACGCCAGUCUGCAUGGAGCCGACCUUGAAAUACCACCCUUUAAUGUUUGAUGUUCUAACGUGGACCCGUGAUCCGGGUUGCGGACAGUGUCUGGUGGGUAGUUUGACUGGGGCGGUCUCCUCCUAAAGAGUAACGGAGGAGCACGAAGGUUGGCUAAUCCUGGUCGGACAUCAGGAGGUUAGUGCAAUGGCAUAAGCCAGCUUGACUGCGAGCGUGACGGCGCGAGCAGGUGCGAAAGCAGGUCAUAGUGAUCCGGUGGUUCUGAAUGGAAGGGCCAUCGCUCAACGGAUAAAAGGUACUCCGGGGAUAACAGGCUGAUACCGCCCAAGAGUUCAUAUCGACGGCGGUGUUUGGCACCUCGAUGUCGGCUCAUCACAUCCUGGGGCUGAAGUAGGUCCCAAGGGUAUGGCUGUUCGCCAUUUAAAGUGGUACGCGAGCUGGGUUUAGAACGUCGUGAGACAGUUCGGUCCCUAUCUGCCGUGGGCGCUGGAGAACUGAGGGGGGCUGCUCCUAGUACGAGAGGACCGGAGUGGACGCAUCACUGGUGUUCGGGUUGUCAUGCCAAUGGCACUGCCCGGUAGCUAAAUGCGGAAGAGAUAAGUGCUGAAAGCAUCUAAGCACGAAACUUGCCCCGAGAUGAGUUCUCCCUGACUCCUUGAGAGUCCUGAAGGAACGUUGAAGACGACGACGUUGAUAGGCCGGGUGUGUAAGCGCAGCGAUGCGUUGAGCUAACCGGUACUAAUGAACCGUGAGGCUUAACCUUACAACGCCGAAGCUGUU